rnacentral:pre_miRNA from 1 species
AGGUUGUCCGUGGUGAGUUCGCAUUGUUUAAUGAUGCCCAAUACACGGUCGAUCUCU